rnacentral:piRNA from 1 species
UUUUCAACUAUAAAACCAAGC